rnacentral:rRNA from 1 species
UACGGAGGGUCCAAGCGUUAUCCGGAAUCAUUGGGUUUAAAGGGUGCGCAGGCGGUAAAGUAAGUCAGUGGUGAAAUCCCUUCGCUCAACGAAGGAACUGCCAUUGAUACUGCUAUACUUGAAUAUAGUCGAAGUGGGCGGAAUGUGACAUGUAGCGGUGAAAUGCUUAGAUAUGUCACAGAACACCGAUAGCGAAGGCAGCUCACUAGACUAACAUUGACACUCAUGCACGAAAGCGUGGGGAGCGAACAGG